AAGACUUCAGUAGAAGCUGAGCCAUGUGGCCCCCAAGGGAUUUUCUUGGAGACUGAUAUAGCAAACGCUGGGGGUUGGGGCAUUGAUUGGUGGAGCCGUGUGUGUCUGCAUGUGCAAAAGGAGCAGAAACGGACAGAAGUACACAGAGAAGGAGCAGAGAAGCCCUGGUAGUGUGACCUUGAGAAAAAAAGCUAAAAAAGAGAUCAUUUUGGGUACAAUGCUGUCUGAAGGGGGCUUGGAACUGUGAGCAAAGAAACUAUAUCUCCUGUUAGCUUCCUACUGUGUUCAGGGAAAGAGGACUUUGUACAUUCUGUCAAAAUAAACAGGAUUGCAGCAAAGAAAUACCAGACUCCAUCAUCAAUUUCUCCUCCUAAUGGAAACAGCCUGCUAGACCCUGAAAAUUGGCUAACCACUCAGGUCAAAAAGAGGUCUAUCUGCUCACGCUGUUGCAUGACUGGGAGGCGAUUAAGAUGGAUGGAUGGGAUAACAGAUACCCCUUUAUGAAGAAGCAGCAUAUUUUAGUGUACUUAGAGAAAUACAGAGAAGUAUAUUGUCCCUAUAUAUUUCAGCUGCACUUGGAGAAGCUUCUCCUGACACUGGCUGCAGGUGACAUGAGUAAAUAACGCAGUUAACAUAAGUGCUGCAAUGCUGCAUUACAUCAAUCGUAUUGUUGUACU